rnacentral:rRNA from 1 species
AUUGAACGCUGGCGGCAGGCCUAACACAUGCAAGUCGAGCGGAUGAAGGAGCUUGCUCCUGAUUCAGCGGCGGACGGGUGAGUAAUGCCUAGGAAUCUGCCUAUUAGUGGGGGAUAACUCGGGGAAACUCGGGCUAAUACCGCAUACGUCCUACGGGAGAAAGUGGGGGAUCUUCGGACCUCACGCUAAUAGAUGAGCCUAGGUCGGAUUAGCUAGUUGGUGAGGUAACGGCUCACCAAGGCGACGAUCCGUAGCUGGUCUGAGAGGAUGAUCAGCCACACUGGAACUGAGACACGGUCCAGACUCCUACGGGAGGCAGCAGUGGGGAAUAUCGGAUAAUGGGCGAAAGCCUGAUCCAGCCAUGCCGCGUGUGUGAAGAAGGUCUUCGGAUUGUAAAGCACUUUAAGUUGGGAGGAAGGUCUGUAAGCUAAUAUCUUGCAGUCUUGACGUUACCAACAGAAUAAGCACCGGCUAACUCUGUGCCAGCCGCCGCGGUAA